UACGGGGGGGGCAAGCGUUGUUCGGAAUUACUGGGCGUAAAGGGUUCGUAGGUGGCCAACUAAGUCAGACGUGAAAUCCCUCGGCUUAACCGGGGAACUGCGUCUGAUACUGGAUGGCUUGAGUUUGGGAGAGGGAUGCGGAAUUCCAGGUGUAGCGGUGAAAUGCGUAGAUAUCUGGAGGAACACCGGUGGCGAAGGCGGCAUCCUGGACCAACACUGACGCUGAGUGAGCGAAAGCCAGGGGAGCAAACGGG
rnacentral:rRNA from 1 species